CUGAAGCUGAGUGGGGCUGGUUUUUUCAGUGUUCAGUGUUUCUGUAACAGCCUCCCUGUAUUAAUGUUUCCAUAUGUAGGCCAAGCACACUGCAGAUAUCAGUUGAAAAGCACAUCUUGAGUGUAAGACAUGUCAUGCCAAUGUCAGACACAUCAGCAAACAGGGUUGGGGAGUAACUGAUUACAUGUAAUCUGAUUAUAAAACAGCAUUGAAAAAGUUUACAUUUAUUCCAACUGAGCGAGUCUGACCACAGGGGAGGGUACCUCACUAACUCCUCAAACCUGCUUCGUAGGAUACCCCUCAGAAGUUGAGUGACCACUUUGUUAUUGUUUGAACUGCAGAUUUACACUUUAAUCAAAACGUACAACCUUGGAACAUGCUUGACACACACACGCCUACACACCAACACACAGGUCUACACACCAACAGCAAACAAACAGAGACAUGCACAUGCAUGAUCAGUCUCACUCAUACCAAUGUGUACCUACUUACACAAAAAUAACAGCACAUGGGUACACACACAGAGAGACACUUAUUUCCAUUCUGCAUACUCCAUCACUUACUCCC
rnacentral:lncRNA from 1 species